AGCGAACGCUGGCGGCAGGCCUAACACAUGCAAGUCGAACGAACCUUUCGGGGUUAGUGGCGGACGGGUGAGUAACACGUGGGAACGUGCCUUUAGGUUCGGAAUACCUCAGGGAAACUUGUGCUAAUACCGAAUGUGCCCUUCGGGGGAAAGAUUAAUCGCCUUUAGAGCGGCCCGCGUCUGAUUAGCUAGUUGGUUGAGGUAAUGGCUCACCAAGGCGACGAUCAGUAGCUGGUCUGAGAGGAUGAUCAGCCACAUUGGGACUGAGACACGGCCCAAACUCCGACGGGAGGCAGCAGUGGGGAAUCUUGCGCAAUGGGCGAAAGCCUGACGCAGCCAUGCCGCGUGAAUGAUGAAGGUCUUAGGAUUGUAAAAUUCUUUCACCGGGGACGAUAAUGACGGUACCCGGAGAAGAAGCCCCGGCUAACUUCGUG
rnacentral:rRNA from 1 species